rnacentral:lncRNA from 1 species
GCCAGCUGGUAGAGUGGCAGAAGAAUUAUACACAAUUAUAGACCUGGCAAUUAAUAGUGACUGCAUCAACCCAAAAUGAGCCUUUCUUUUCUUCCACCCUGGAGAAAAGAAAAUGUGAUGGCAGUUACUGUCUCUGGAAUAGUCUCUGUCACUCUUUAAGAGGCUCCUCUUCUGUAAGGCCUCCGUGCACUUGGAUUCACAGCAUUAACUCUCAAUGCUGUCUCAAUGAAACACACCCAUCGGAACUUAUGAGUUGUGGUGGGAAGUCCCAGCCUAUGGCCAGAGAGAACUGGGCUACUGCAGCAGGGAGCUUGCUGAGUCCAGGCCAUUCUGAGGGAGCCCUUGCAGCAGAAUAACUACGCUGUGAAAGAUAAGACAUUCACAGGAGUCCUGCGAGAAAAAACAAACAAGAAACCCAGCCAGUGUGCCUCGCAGAAUUGCACCCUGGCACCUUCAAGCAAACACCCAGGCUGGCCUGUAUUCUAGGGCGAGGUAGCAAGAGGAUCGCCAUAAGUUCGAGGCCAGCCUGGGCUACACAGGGAGACGCUGACUCAAACAAUACAAACCCCAAAUAACUAAAUAAAUAAAUACCCAAGCUCAUUGAACGUUUGCUCACUCUACAUUUCAUUAAACGAGGACAUCAACAUCUAAAAUAUGAUCCUAACUUUGUAAAACUUAGUUACUGGUUAUUUUCCAAGAGAAACUCGAAGAGACACGCGUUAUCUUUGGACCCGCACUGCUCCACACCCAUCUCUGGCCUCUCCAACAGCCGCGAUCAGCUAAGGAGACUUGGCCAAGAAGUUCAAGUGUUGUUUUUUUUUUUAAAUUGUUAUUUUUAAGCAACUCCUCCUGCCCUCUCCCCGGGUUCCCCGAGCCGCUGCCCAGCGCCUUCUCCCAGCGCUCGCCGGGCUGGCCCCGCGGCCACGUGCGCGCCGCUGCGGCUCUCG